rnacentral:rRNA from 1 species
AGCGAACGCUGGCGGCAGGCUUAACACAUGCAAGUCGAGCGGGCACCUUCGGGUGUCAGCGGCAGACGGGUGAGUAACACGUGGGAACGUACCCUUUGGUUCGGAACAACUCUGGGAAACUGGAGCUAAUACCGGAUACGCCCUUUUGGGGAAAGGUUUACCGCCGAAGGAUCGGCCCGCGUCUGAUUAGCUAGUUGGUGAGGUAAUGGCUCACCAAGGCGACGAUCAGUAGCUGGUCUGAGAGGAUGAUCAGCCACACUGGGACUGAGACACGGCCCAGACUCCUACGGGAGGCAGCAGUGGGGAAUAUUGGACAAUGGGCGCAAGCCUGAUCCAGCCAUGCCGCGUGAGUGAUGAAGGCCUUAGGGUUGUAAAGCUCUUUUGUCCGGGACGAUAAUGACGGUACCGGAAGAAUAA